ACGGCCAGAGAUGGUCGCCCCCUUGUGGUCGGUGUACAGGUGGUGCAUGGUUGUCGUCAGCUCGUGUCGUGAGAUGUUGGGUUAAGUCCCGCAACGAGCGCAACCCUCGUUCUAUGUUGCCAGCGCGUUAUGGCGGGGACUCAUAGGAGACUGCCGGGGUCAACUCGGAGGAAGGUGGGGAUGACGUCAAAUCAUCAUGCCCCUUAUGUCUUGGGCUUCACGCAUGCUACAAUGGCCGGUACAAAGGGCUGCGAUACCGUAAGGUGGAGCGAAUCCCAAAAAGCCGGUCUCAGUUCGGAUUGAGGUCUGCAACUCGACCUCAUGAAGUCGGAGUCGCUAGUAAUCGUAGAUCAGCAUGCUACGGUGAAUACGUUCCCGGGUCUUGUACACACCGA
rnacentral:rRNA from 1 species